ACAACGACCACGCAACCUGGUCAGUCUGAGUCUCCAUAGGCAUUUAUAUGUUUAGCAAGCUGGACAGACAGACUGCUUUAUCGACCGACAUUGGGGCCAGCAUACUAGGGGAGCAAAGUUCAGGUCAGGUUGAAGCGGUGUCUUGAAGCGCACCACAUCAAGGCCCACAUCGGAGGAGACUGCAGUGGUUCUGCUAAGGCAUAGUAUCAAGGAAAAUAAUCUGAAUAGUUAAUUCCCCCCCUCGGCAAAAGGUUCAACGAAAAUGCUCUCUGUUUGGAUAUCCCUCCUUCUCUUCUGUCCAGCCAUCGUGAGGACAGGAAAUGUGCUGGUUGUCCCAGUCGAUGGGAGUCACUGGGUGAACAUGAAAAUCAUUGUUGAAGAGCUUCAUUCAAGGGGCCACACUAUCUCAGUGGUGCGAACAACAGACAGCUGGUAUAUCAAGGAACACUCCCCCUUCUAUACUGCUAUUACCGUCAAAUCUGAGAGUGGCUUUGAUGAGGGCUUCAUCACUGAGUAUAUUGCAAAGCUUCUGGAGAUCCAGAGGAACGGAAGGUCUCCCUGGGCACGUUUCAAACUGGAGAUGGAGGAUAUGGAGGCAGCCUCUGUGAUGCACUCAAAGGGCGCCAAAUUGGUUGAGCGUAUGUUUGAGGACAAGCAGUUGAUGCAGUCUCUAAAGGAUGCAAAAUUCAACAUGGUUCUGACAGACCCAAUGAUACUAACUGGUGUCAUGCUUGCCCGCCACUUAGAUCUGCCUUUAGCUUUUAACGUGAGAUGGACGACUCACGGUGAAGGCCAUUUUUCGAUCGCCCCGUCUCCUCUUUCUUACGUUCCAGUGCCAGGGCUAGAGCUAUCCGAUAAGAUGAGCUUCAGCGAAAGAGUUUUGAAUACAUGUUUUUACUGCUUCCAACAAUUUCAUUUUUCCCGAUAUAUUGUUCCACACUAUGAGGGGCUGAUGCAAAAAUACUUCAGCCAAGAUUCCUUUAUGAGCCUGUUUCAAAGAGCUGAUCUGUGGCUCAUGAGAAUAGAUUUUGUGUUUGAGUUCCCUCGGCCCACCAUGCCUAAUAUUAAGUACAUGGGAGGGUUUCAAUGUAAACCUGCUCAGCCUCUGCCUCCACACCUGGAGGACUUUGUCCAGAGUUCAGGAGAGCACGGAGUCAUCAUUAUGUCUCUGGGGACGUUUGUCACAAGCCUGCCCCAGGAAAUAUCAGAGGAGAUCGCCGCCGCUUUUGCAAAACUACCUCAGAAAGUCAUCUGGAGACAUAAAGGUGAACGGCCAGCAUCCUUAGGCAACAACACAUUACUUCUCGAUUGGAUGCCACAGAAUGACCUUUUAGGACACGAAAAAACCAAACUGUUUGUGGCGCACGGAGGAACAAACGGAGUACAAGAGGCCAUCUACCACGGAGUGCCCAUCCUCGGACUCCCACUGAUCUUUGACCAACACGACAAUCUCUUCAAAAUUAAAUUCAGAGGAGGCAGCAAAAUCCUAAAUAUAUUCACUAUUGACAGGGAGAGCUUCCGACAAGGUAUCGAGGAACUCCUCCAUGAGCCCUCAUACAGGACGACCAUGGAGCGACUCUCUAGACUCAGUAGGGACCUGCCAAUGAAGCCUUUAGACUACGCCAUCUUCUGGAUAGAGUAUGUUAUACGAAACAAGGGUGCUGGUCACCUGAGGUCAGAGUCCUACAACAUGCCUUGGUACUCCUACUACUCUGUAGAUGUGAUCCUUCUCUUAUUAGGACCGCUGCUGAUUAUGAUCCUGACCUUUGUUGUGUUAGUCAAGACACUGUGCUCCUGUGUCUGUCGCAGAAUAAAACGCAAACGGGACUAAUAAUAUCUUUAUAUAUAUUUGCAUAUAAGUAUUAAAACUAUUGUUAUUUGGCACAUUUGUGUAUGUUUCUGUUUUUUUUUAAAUUAUUUAAAUCUUGUGUAAACCCGUAAAGGUGCUUAUCAUGCAGAUAAAGUUAAUCGUUUUAGGACACGGUUAUCACCUUGAUGUGGCUUACAUAUUAACAUUUCUUUGGGCAUAUCUAAAAGUAUUAAGGUAAGAGUUGUUGAAUUAUAAAGCCCCCGACAAGAUGGCUGUCGCCUCGUGAUGGUGAAUGUGAGGCAAUAUUGUAAAGCGCUUUGAGUGGCCAAUGGUUAGAAAAGCACAAUAUAAAUGCAGUCCAUUUACAUUUACAUUAGUGCUCCGACCACUCUGUGUCUAUGCUGUGUCUACUCAGGUCUGGGUCUAUGUUUGGAGCACAACUCUUAGCAGAACCCAGGUAAUUCCAGCUAUUCUUCAAACAGUUGAUCAUAUUUCAUAAUGAAAGUGAUUAUGAAUUGUUCUCAUGUACUGUUAUGUAAUCAAUCAUAUAUUAUGCUGUUAUAGAAACAAAGGUAUGAUAGAGCUGGGCAAUAAUUGUAUAUUAGUAACAUCUGAAUGCCAUUAUCAUCUGGCCAUCAUAUUCAUGAAUAAAUACACUUUCUGAAUUCUGGCUUAAAUUAAAUAUCACGGUUGAAUCAGGUAUACCGUUGUCUUUAAAUUCAUAAAUAUAUAUAUAGAUACAUGUACUGUACAAAAUCACUGAGCAAUACAUUGAAUAAAUAAUUUAUUUUAUCUAAUACUAGAUAAAACUUUAC